UGGGGAAUAUUCCGCAAUGGGCGAAAGCCUGACGGAGCAACGCCGCGUGAGUGAAGAAGGCCUUCGGGUUGUAAAGCUCUGUCUUUGGGGACGAAGAAAGUGACGGUACCCAAGGAGGAAGCCACGGCUAACUACGUGCCAGCAGCCGCGGUAAUACGUAGGUGGCAAGCGUUGUCCGGAAUUAUUGGGCGUAAAGGGCGCGUAGGCGGAUAAUUAAGUCAGAUGUGAAAUAUGCGGGCUUAACCCGGAUCUGCAUCUGAAACUGGCUAUCUUGAGUGCAGGAGAGGACAGUGGAAUUCCUAGUGUAGCGGUGAAAUGCGUAGAUAUUAGGAGGAACACCAGUGGCGAAGGCGGCUGUCUGGACUGUAACUGACGCUGAGGCGCGAAAGCGUGGGGAGCAAACAGG
rnacentral:rRNA from 2 species